rnacentral:rRNA from 1 species
AAGGAUCAUUAAAGAUUAUGAAUAAGUUGAUUACUGGGGGAAUCGCUGAAUAUGGCCUGCGCUUAAUUGCGCGGCUAAUUCUUGAUUUUCUGCUAUCAGUUUUCUUUCUCCCAUCCUAAACACAAUGGAGUCUUUUCUCUAUGAACUACUUCCCUGGAGAGCUCGUCUCUCCAGUGGACAUAAACACAAACAACAUUUUGCAUUAUGAAAAACUAUUUAUCAAGAAAUUUAAUAUUCAAAACUUUCAACAACGGAUCUCUUGGUUCUCGCAUCGAUGAAGAACGCAGCGAAUUGCGAUAUGUAUUGUGAAUUGCAGAUUUUCGUGAAUCAUCAAAUCUUUGAACGCACAUUGCGCCCUCUGGUAUUCCAGGGGGCAUGCCUGUUUGAGCGUCAUUUCUCUCUCAAACCUUUGGGUUUGGUAGUGAGUGAUACUCGUCUCGGGUUAACUUGAAAGUGGCUAGCCGUUGCCAUCUGCGUGAGCAGGGCUGCGUGUCAAGUCUAUGGACUCGGCUCUUGCACAUCUACGUCUUAGGUUUGCGCCAAUUCGUGGUAAGCUAGGGUCAAUGAGCUUAUAGGUGUUAUAAAGACUCGCUGGUGUUUGUCUCCUUGAGGCAUACGGCUUAAUCAAAACUCUCAAAGUUUGACCUCAAAUCAGGUAGGAAUACCCGCUGAACUUAA